rnacentral:rRNA from 1 species
CCCUUAGAUGUCCGGGGCCGCACGCGCGCUACACUGAAGGAAACAGCGUGGCUUUCUCCCUGACCCGAAAGGGUUGGGAAACCCGUUGAAUCUCCUUCGUGAUAGGGAUUGGGGCUUGAAAUUGUUCCCCAUGAACGAGGAAUUCCCAGUAAGCGCGAGUCAUAAGCUCGCGUUGAUUACGUCCCUGCCCUUUGUACACACCGCCCGUCGCUACUACCGAUUGAACGGUUUAGUGAGGGCCUCGGAUUGGUCUCGGCCCGCUCUUUACCGGGCGGCGCCGUUGGUCGAGAAGACGCUCGAACUUGAUCGUUUAGAGGAAGUAAAAGUCGUAACA